rnacentral:lncRNA from 1 species
UUGGCAGCAGAACCUCCAGGUAUGAUUCACUCCUGGCACUGCCUUCUCUCUUCCCAGAUAGACCAGCCCUGGUAAACAGAAAGUCAGGGAGUGUGUGAUGAGGAGUGGCUACCAGUAAAGGAGGUGAGAGUUGAUGGGAGGGCCUUUGAUACCUUGAUGAAGUCCUGGGUUGAAGACACCAGUCUAGAAAACUGCCUGAGGCAUGUGGGGAGAAGCAUAAAGAUGCUGAGGAUCUGGAGGGGCUUGUGCACUACAGAGCCUGAAGCUGCUGGAAAAGUACUUGGGAUGACAUCUUCUAUAAGCCAGAAGCUUGUUCAGCACAGAGGGAGCGGAGGGAAGGGAGGAACUUAGCAGAUGAAUUUAUUUCACUGAAAUUUAAACCAAAAUACAACCCUGUUUGCCAUGGAAGUAAACCUCAGAACUUAAAAAGUGAAUGAGGAGUUCAGUUCGGUAUGUAGAAAACCUCACUGGAUUAGUUGGGCACUUCAGAUAUACUCAGUCAAGAUGAGGAAUGGAGAUGACAGGUUUCCAUAGCUGUUAUAUUAUGAUCUAUUCUGAUUAGCUGGCUCAAACUACUGAUGUAAAAAGGUGUAACAAGGUGCUUACGAAAGAAGUGAGAGGUGCUGACAGAUGAGCUCUGUGAGACUACACAAUCACUAGUAGCACUGCUUUUCAUAUAUGUAUUUUGGUGCUACGUUGCUCUCUCUCAAAACGGAAUUCC